ensembl:lncRNA
GGGCUCUAUGGGGCUUUAUGGGGUCAAUAUGGGUCUCUAUGGGUCGCUAUGGGGUCCCUAUGGGCCUCUAUGGGUCUCUAUGGGUCCCUAUAGGGUUCUAUGGGGUCUUUAUGGGGCUCUAUGGGCCUCUAUGUGGCUCUAUGGGGUCCCUAUGGGUUCCUAUGGGGUCCUUAUGGGGCUCUGUAGGGCUUUAUGGGGUCCCUAUGGGGCUCUAUGGGUCGCUAUGGGGUCCCUGUGGGUCCCUGUGGGUCCCUAUGGGCCCCUAUGGGUCUCUAUGGGGUACUGUGGGUCCCUAAGGGGUUCUAUGGGGUCCCUGUGGGGUCUCUAUGGGUCACUAUGUGUCUCUGUGGGGCUACAAUGGGGCUCUAUGGGUCCCUAUGGGGCUCUAUGUGGUCCCUAUGUGUCCCUAUGGGGUCUUUAUGGGGCUCUAUAGGGCUUUAUGGGGUCCUAUGGGGCUCUAUGGGUCGCUAUGGGGUCCCUGUGGGUCCCUGUGGGCCCCUAUGGGUCUCUUUGGGGGCUCUAUGGGGUCCCUAUGGGUCCGUAUGGGUCGCUAUGGGGUCCCUAUGGGGCUCUAUGGGACUCUCUGGGUCCCUAUGGGGUUCUAUGGGGUCCCUGUGGGGUCUCUAUGGGUUACUAUGGGUCUCUGUGGGGCCACAAUGGGGCUCUAUGGGGUCCCUAUGGGGUCUUUAUGGGGCUCUAUGGGGUCCCUAUGGGUCCCUAUGGGUCGCUAUGGGGUCUCUGUGGGGCUCUCUGGGGUCACUAUCGGGCUCUAUGGGUCCCUAUGGGUCCCUAUGGGGGCUCUAUGGGGUCCCUAUGGGUCCCUAUGGGGUCCUUAUGGGGCUCUGUAGGGCUUUAUGGGGUCUCUAUGGGUCUGUAUGGGUCGCUAUGGGGUCCCUAUGGGCCCCUCUGGGUCUCUAUGGGGUCUCUGUUGGGCUCUAUGGGUCCCUAUGGGGUCCCUGUGGGGCUCUAUGGGCCUCUAUGGGGCCCCUAUGGGUCCCUAUGGGGUCUUUAUGGGGCUCUGUAGGGCUUUAUGGGGUCCCUAUGGGCCUCUAUGUUNNNNNNNNNNNNNNNNNNNNNNNNNNNNNNNNNNNNNNNNNNNNNNNNNNUGAGGUCUCUGUGGGGCUCUAUGGGGUCUCUGUGGGGCUCUAUGGGGUCUCUAUGGGGCUCUGUGGGUCUCUAUGGGUCCCUAUGGGGUCUCUAUGGGUCUCUAUGGGUCCCUAUGGGGUCUCUAUGGGGUCUCUAUCUGUCCCAAUGGAUUCCUUUGUGUCUCUAUGGGGCCACAAUGGGGCUCUAUGGGUCUCUAUGGGGUCCCUAUCGGGUCUCUAUGGGUCUCUAUGGGUCCCUAUGGGGUCUCUAUGGGCCCCUAUCGGUCUCUAUGGGGCCCUGUGGGGAUCUAUGGGGUCUAUAUGGGGUCUCUAUGCGGUUCCUGUGGGUCCUUAUGGGUCUCUAUGGGUCCCUAUGGAUUCCUAUGUGUCUCUAUGGGGCCACAACGGGGCUCUAUGGGUCCCUAUGGGUCCCUUGGGCUCUAUGGGUCAAUAUGGGGCUCUAUGGGGUUCUCUGGGGUCUCUAUGGGACUCAAUGCGGUUCUAUGGGGUCCCUAUGGGGCCCCUAUGGGGGCUCUGUGGGGCUCUGUGGGGUCUUAUGGGGGCUCUAUACUUCCCUAUGGGGUCCCUAUGGGGUCUUUAUGGGGCUCUGUGGGUCAAUAUGGGUCUCUAUGGGACUCUAUGGGACUCUAUGGGUCUCUAUGGGUCUCUAUGGGGCUCUACGGGGCUCUAUGGGGUCUCUAUGGGGCUCUAUGGGUCUCUAUGUGGUCUUUAUGGGGCUCUAUGGGGCUCUAUGGGGUCUCUAUGGGGUUUCAAUGGGGUCCUUAUGGAUUCCUAUGUGUCUCUAUGGGGCCACAACGGGGCUCUAUGGGUCCCUAUGCAUCCCUAUGGGGUCCCUAUGGGGCCCCUAUGGGCCCCUAUGGGCCUCUAUGGGGUCUCUAUGGGGCCUCUAUAAGUCUCUAUGGGGUCUUUAUAGGGUCUCUAUGGGACUCUGUGGUUCCCUAUGUGGUGUUUAUGGGGCUCUAUGGGUGUCUAUGGGUCCCUAUGGGGUCUCUAUUGGUCUCUGUUGGUCUCUAUGGGGUGUUUAUGGGGUCUCUAUGGGUCGCUAUGGGUCACUAUGGGGCUCUGUGGGGAUCUAUGGGGCUCUAUGGGUCUCUAUGGGGUCCCUAUGGAUUCCUAUGUGUCUCUAUGGGGCCACAACGGGGCUCUAUGGGUCAAUAUGGGGCUCUAUGGGGUUCUCUGGGGUGUCUGUGGGACUCAAUGCGGUUCUAUGG